UGGUCCAUGGCUGAGUUGGUUACAGCGUCCGACUAUUAAUGUCGAGUUCAAGGUGAUCGGAAGGUCGAGCGUUCGAGCACAUCUGGGGCAG